rnacentral:rRNA from 1 species
ACGUAGGGUGCGAGCGUUAAUCGGAAUUACUGGGCGUAAAGCGUGCGCAGGCGGUUCGCCAAGUCUGAUGUGAAAGCCCCGGGCUCAACCUGGGAAUGGCAUUGGAAACUGGCGGGCUGGAGUGUGGCAGAGGGGGGUGGAAUUCCGCGUGUAGCAGUGAAAUGCGUAGAGAUGCGGAGGAACACCGAUGGCGAAGGCAGCCCCCUGGGCUGACACUGACGCUCAGGCACGAAAGCGUGGGGAGCAAACAGGAUUAGAUACCCUGGUAGUCCACGCCCUAAACGAUGUCAACUAGGUGUUGGGGGAGCAAUUUCUCAGUACCGUAGCUAACGCGUGAAGUUGACCGCCUGGGGAGUACGGCCGCAAGGUUA